rnacentral:rRNA from 1 species
UACGUUCCCGGGUCUUGUACACACCGCCCGUCACACCACGAGAGUUUGUAACACCCGAAGUCGGUGGGGUAACCGCAAGGGGCCGGCCGCCUAAGGUGGGACAGAUGAUUGGGGUG